AACAUAACAAAUAGACGGUUGGAAUGUUUAUUAUAUAUUCUAAAAAAUUAUGCUACAGAACGCUGAUUUCUAAUUUGCUUUGAUUUUAUGUCAAAGUAGCUGAUUCUCUGAUGCCUGCACAAUCCAAACGGAUGCAUCUUUUCCUGCAAGGAGACUGAACACAUACUUUGGGAUUAGAGACAUAACAGCAGAUGACAACAGCAGAUUUUAUUAUGUCUGUGUCAUACAAGCCCCCCGGGGAAAGCUGAAGAGAGGCCUUCCAAGAUAAACCUGGUGGUGUGACCUUGAAGUUGACACCACAAAGAUGGGUUAUACGUGGCGACAGCUGGAGAGAAUGGCCCAGUAUAGAGGACUCAGUAGAUCUGUUGUUGACGGCCCAUACCCUGACAGGGG